AUUGAACGCUGGCGGCAGGCCUAACACAUGCAAGUCGAGCGAGCGGCGGACGGGUGAGUAAUGUCUGGGAAACUGCCUGCUGGAGGGGGAUAACUACUGGAAACGGUAGCUAAUACCGCAUACCAUCAGAUGUGCCCAGAUGGGAUUAGCUGGUAGGUGGGGUAACGGCUCACCUAGGCGGCGAUCCCUAGCUGGUCUGAGAGGAUGACCAGCAGAAGUGGAACGGAGACACGGUCAAGACUCCGACGGAAGGCAGCAGUGGGGAAUAUUGCACAAUGGGCGCAAGCUGGAUGCAGCCAUGCCGCGUGUGUGAAGAAGGCUUUCGGGUUGUAAAGCACUUUCAGCGGGGAGGCGUUACCCGCAGAAGAAGCACCGGCUAACUCCGUGCCAGCAGCCGCGGUAAUUC
rnacentral:rRNA from 1 species